UACGUAGGGUGCAAGCGUUGUCCGGAAUUAUUGGGCGUAAAGAGCUCGUAGGCGGUUUGUCGCGUCUGCUGUGAAAACCCGAGGCUCAACCUCGGGCCUGCAGUGGGUACGGGCAGACUAGAGUGCGGUAGGGGAGAUUGGAAUUCCUGGUGUAGCGGUGGAAUGCGCAGAUAUCAGGAGGAACACCGGUGGCGAAGGCGGUUCUCUGGGCAUGAUCUGACGCUGAGGAGCGAAAGUGUGGGGAGCGAACAGG
rnacentral:rRNA from 1 species